CUUCUUCAAGCUCCACUUCCACUUAACUUUUAACCCCUUUGUGGCAGCCUUGCCGGUGGCCAGGGCAGGGGCAAGUUUCCUCCGAUUUUUUCCCCACUUUUCUUUCCUUGUGAUUUUCCUUUAUUUUUAAGUUGUAAGCCAGUAACAAUCUUGCAAAAGGAAUCUACUGUAAGGACCUCAGUUUAGAAGUGUGAGCAUUUCGUUAAUCAGGUAAAACUUAACCACAAUGUGGCACAUUUAGUGAUAGCCUCACCAGAUCCUGUGCUGUGUGUGAGUGAAGCGUCAGGAGUGAGCAGGUAUACGUGACUUUUGGCAGGGAUCCUUGGCGGUAGAAGUGUUCAGAUGCUGGACUGAUGCAGUGACAACCUGCAAGUCCCUUUUUUCCUCUUUCCACCUUCUAGUCUCCCUCCAGUGCCUCCUCUUGGCAGAACCUAACAAGAAAUCAGCUGACAAGGGAGUCUGGGAACGAGUGUCCUGUGCCUUUCGGAUUUUGAUCAAAAUUGCUCCAUAGAUCAACCUGGGGAGAACGGAAUCUUUCCUUCAGAGAACUUGUUAAUAUACUGGCAAGAACAUCUAAGGAUAAAAAGGAGUGGUGAUCAUGCACAUCCUCACCUCAUUCCAGAUUUUGAAGUAGACAGGGUCUUGCUAUAUUGUCCAGGCUGGUCUCGAACUCCUGGCCUCAUGUGAUCCUCCCACCUUGGCUUCUCAAAGUGCUGGUAUUACAGGAAUGAGUUGCUGCAACUGGCCUAUAUGUGCUUUUUAUCACGUUAAGGUUAUUCUCUUCUAUUCCUAAUUGACUAAAAGAUUUUUUUCUUUAAUAAUGAACUAAUGAUGAUUUUUUUUCAAAUGCCUUAUCUAUACCUAUUAAAAUUACAUAUGGUUUUUCUCUUUUAAUAUGGUAGUAUGGUGAAUUACAUUUGUAGAUUUUCUACCAUUAAAUCAACUUUGCCUUCUUGAGUUAAACCAAACUUUGUCAGUGUAUUAUCUUUUUUAUACACUGUAGAAUUUAAUUUACUAAUACAAUCUUCUAUUUAUGAUUUUUGCUUCUAUAGUCAUAAAUGAAACAGCCCUGUAAUUUUUCCUUUUCUUCUUGUCAUAGUCUGGUUUUGGUAUUGGGGUUACAGAGUCCAUAUAAAAUGAGUUGGAGAGUAUUUCCCUUUUUUUCUAUACUCAAGAAAAGUUUUUUUAUGAGACUGGGAUGAUCACUUCCUUUUAAGAUUUGUGGGAACUUGCCUGUAAAAUCAUUUGGGCCUAGUAUUUAAUGUGGGAUUAUUUAACAAUACUGCUUGCAUUUUUGUAAUUGUUGAAUACUCAGAUUUAAAAAAAUUUCUUCUUGAGUACAUUUUGUUAUUUUCCUAGGAAACUGAGUAUUUAUCAAACCUUUCAAAUUGUUGUUGAUAAAAUUCCUAUUUGCUUGUUAAUCUGUACUUUAUCUAGAGUGUGUUCCCUUUUUAAUUUGUGCUAUUACUUCUUUGUGAAUAAUUUGUCUUAAUUUAUUACAGAUACUUAAAUUAUAAAAGUUUUCAAAUUACUUACAUGUAUAUAUACAUAUGUUAAAUAUACUUAUAUGUUACUUCC